rnacentral:misc_RNA from 1 species
GAUGAAGAACGUAGCGAAAUGCGAUAAGUAGUGUGAAUUGCAGAAUUCAGUGAAUCAUCGAAUCUUUGAACGCACAUUGCGCCCCUUGGUAUUCCAUGGGGCAUGCCUGUUCGAGCGUCAUUUGUACCCUCAAGCUUUGCUUGGUGUUGGGUGUUUGUCCUCUCCCUCGCGUUUGGACUCGCCUUAAAAUAAUUGGCAGCCGGCGUAUUGAUUUCGGAGCGCAGUACAUCUCGCGCUUUGCACUCAUAACGACAGCGUCCAAAAGUACAUUUUACACUCUUGACCUCGGAUCAGGUAGGGAUACCCGCUGAACUUAAGCAUAUCAAUAAGCGGAGGA